GCACCGAUGGAAAAUUGAUAGAUUCGAAUAGAGCGCUUGGUCCUCCUACAUUGGUCUCACACGCGCCAAAGUAGCAGAUGCAACAACUAGUCAAGGCUUGUCUAUUCAGAGCUCCAUAGCACGUCGGCUCCAAUACCUCACACACCUGAUUUUGUAACAGCCAUUUCCUCUCUAGUAUGCAGGUCCCGACAUCAUACUUUGCUAUAUGCUUUGACAUCUUUAGGGCAAAGAUAUGUAUUGCUUUUCUUUAUUAAUGAAUGUAAAAUUGAAUUCAACCCAA
rnacentral:lncRNA from 1 species